rnacentral:rRNA from 1 species
GUGGGGAAUCUUGCGCAAUGGGCGAAAGCCUGACGCAGCCAUGCCGCGUGAAUGAUGAAGGUCUUAGGAUUGUAAAAUUCUUUCACCGGGGACGAUAAUGACGGUACCCGGAGAAGAAGCUCCGGCUAACUUCGUGCCAGCAGCCGCGGUAAUACGAAGGGGGCUAGCGUUGCUCGGAAUUACUGGGCGUAAAGGGCGCGUAGGCGGACAGCUUAGUCAGAGGUGAAAGCCCAGGGCUCAACCUUGGAAUUGCCUUUGAUACUGGCUGUCUUGAGUUUGGGAGAGGUGAGUGGAACGCCGAGUGUAGAGGUGAAAUUCGUAGAUAUUCGGAAGAACACCAGUGGCGAAGGCGACUCACUGGCCCAAUACUGACGCUGAGGCGCGAAAGCGUGGGGAGCAAACAGGAUUAGAAACCCCGGUAGUCC